GGGUGCUUGGCGCAAUGGUAGCGUGUUCGGCUUCGAUUGCUGAAUUUCGCACCGAAAGGUUGCAGGUUCGAGUCCUGCAGUGCUCA